rnacentral:rRNA from 1 species
UACGUAGGGUGCGAGCGUUGUCCGGAAUUACUGGGCGUAAAGCGCGCGUAGGCGGACCUGCAAGUCGGGGGUGAAAGCCCGAGGCUCAACCUCGGAACUGCCUUCGAUACUGCGGGUCUCGAGUCCGGGAGAGGUGAGUGGAAUUCCUAGUGUAGAGGUGAAAUUCGUAGAUAUUAGGAAGAACACCAGUGGCGAAGGCGGCUCACUGGCCCGGUACUGACGCUGAGGCGCGAAAGCGUGGGGAGCAAACAGG